GAAGACUUAAGUUUAAUAAAACUGUGAGCCUUCAAAGCUCAAAACAUAGAUUAAAAUUCUAUAGUCUUUG
rnacentral:tRNA from 3 species